UAGCCCAUGGGGGGAUCGAACCCAUGAUCUUCACGUUAUUAGCAGGACGCUCUAACCAACUGAGCUAAUGGGCC